UUAUCCCAUGAAUGAAACCUGAUGCCAAAAUAAGUGUAUCGGCAUGUUAAGCAGCACAUGUCUUUGUGUUCUCCUUGUAGUCCAGCCAUCCAGUAUUUUGGCACGGCUCUCCCUUUGAGACCAGCAAAAACGAUGGAAAGAUUCCAUGGCGGGUGUGAAAUCACAUGACUGAAACUUGAUAAUCCUUUCCUCGGGCUGGCUGAACUCAUUGAGCUAGACAACAUCAACAUGCUUCCCACCCUCCUCACCACCGUGCUUUUUACAAUGGGAUCAGAUGCUGUCCCUUAUGCCAUCCUAUCUCCACCAUUUCACCUGAACACUGAUCUCAGAGGCUUGACCAUCCUGGUGUGUGUGGUUCACGACAUUCAUCAAGGAGAGCUGGAGGUCUCCUGGAUUUCGAGUGGCACCAGAGGAACUAUUCCAGCAGUUCCUAACUUACUCCAAGGACACAGUGGCAUUCAGAGCACAAUGUCUGUUAUAUCUGUGCCCUCGAGUGAAUGGAUGUCCUACACCUGCUUUGUGAGUCACAGAGGCUCCGAUCAACUCAUACACAGACAUUAUGCUGGACUCCCAAUGGAGACAACCGAAAUGGCUGAUGAUGAAGAAACGUUUGAUAUGUGUUUGGACAAUCAAAGCAGUUUUUUGGAAGAUGUUCGAGCAAACAACGAUCUAUUAUUUGUUCAAGCUCUCAGAAUUAUCCUUCUCAAAAUCACCAUUUUCAACGUUCUGAUGACAGUGCAAGCCGUUAUAAAGUGAUUGCAGAGUUUCAAAAACAACUGCCACGGAUGCCGGAGUUAAUUGGAUGUGGAAUUCCAGGACGAGGAAUUCCAGUUGAUGUAAACGAGAAUCUGGAAUAUUGACGAGGGUCUCGUUGAGCUUCGGAGCAGCAUCACGCCACAAGAUGCAGGUGCUUCGAUAUGUGGGCAGAUGAGUGUGAUAGCUGCUCAAACCACAUCAUGUACACAAUACAACAAAUGCACUGCACCACAAGCUGCUUUUGUAGGCCAUUGUCAAAACUAAAAGCUUUUAAUGGCAUUGUUAAGUCAGCUUUUACUAAUGUGACACUGUUGAACUUUUGAUCUGUCUGACAUUUGUGAAUGUGACAUCAGUGCUACAUCAAGAUUUUUUGCAUUCAUUUUUGAAGCAUAGAAUAUUCACAGUUUGUUUUAAUUACACUACCGUUCAAAAGUUUGCUGUUUGUAAGAUUUUAU